AACGAACGCUGGCGGCAUGCCUAACACAUGCAAGUCGAACGAGACCUUCGGGUCUAGUGGCGCACGGGUGCGUAACGCGUGGGAAUCUGCCCUUGGGUUCGGAAUAACAGUUGGAAACGACUGCUAAUACCGGAUGAUGACGUAAGUCCAAAGAUUUAUCGCCCAAGGAUGAGCCCGCGUAGGAUUAGCUAGUUGGUGAGGUAAAGGCUCACCAAGGCGACGAUCCUUAGCUGGUCUGAGAGGAUGAUCAGCCACACUGGGACUGAGACACGGCCCAGACUCCUACGGGAGGCAGCAGUGGGGAAUAUUGGACAAUGGGCGAGAGCCUGAUCCAGUAAGGCCGCGUGAGUGAUGAAGGUCUGAGGGUUGUAAAGCUCUUUUACCCGGGAUGAUAAUGACAGUACCGGGAGAAUAAGCACCGGCUAACUCCGUG
rnacentral:rRNA from 1 species